UUUAGGGUUUGUUUAAAAAAAACUGCAGAGAAAUAAAAAAAAACUCUUUUCUCAACUCCUCGUCGUCGGCCGAAUGGGCCACCGUCGGGCUCGCCGUAAGCGGAGGUUAGGAGGCCAGAAGUCAUUUUUUCGAACCACUCUUCAAGGGCCAACUAAAGACCGAGCCUUCAUGGCCUAAGGGCCGUGGGAAGAGACUCCAAACGCCGCCUUCCCUGUCCGACUUCGGUGACCUGAAGAAGGACUCCGACGAUGACGCUUGCGAGGCGGUUCAGGUAAGUUUCCUUUCCAGGUUUCUUAUUAUUUUGUUAAUUUAAACAAAAGUAAAACAAAACAACACUAAGAAAAAAAAUAAAAACGAAGAACCUAGAAAGUGAAAGGAACAAAUCACCUUAAAUGCUUUUUUUUUUAAUUUCAUAAAAUGUUCGUCCAAAAAGGAAUAAGAAGUUCUUCUUUACAGCACAUUCGACUUUAACCGAAAGAAAAGAAGAAAAAUAAAAGAAAAAAUCCCUCCUUAUUUUUACAUUGUAUUUCGGCUUUUAUAGCCCUUGUUCUUGCUGUUGGUGCUGAUCUUGACUUGUUUGCAGGUGCAAGUGGAGUGGUAGAGCAGGUGGAGUUGGUGGCAGAGCAGGUGGCGUGGCGGUGGCAGAGCAGGUGGCGCAGCAGUGGCAAAGGUUAGGAGGCUAGAGUUUCUACCCUUUUUUUUUUUUUUACUGAAGAUUAGAUUAGGUUUUGGGCUUAUUGGGCCACUAGAGUUUUAGGCUUUGUAAUUGUAAAAUUGGGCUAGGGUAUUUGGGUUAAAUUUUGUUGUAAAUGAACUCUUUUGUUUAUUAGUUUUUAGGCCCGGGCCAAAAUUGGCUAUACAAUAAUCAUUUAAUAAAAUAUAUGUAAUACCUCAAAAUUUUCAGUAUAGUAAAUAACAUUGUUCCAAGAAUUAGUGAAUACAAAAUUAGUGAGA
rnacentral:lncRNA from 1 species